rnacentral:rRNA from 1 species
UACGUAGGGGGCAAGCGUUGUCCGGAUUUAUUGGGCGUAAAGAGCGUGUAGGCGGCCAUGCAGGUCCGUUGUGAAAACUCGAGGCUCAACCUCGAGACGCCGGUGGAAACCGUGUGGCUAGAGUCCGGAAGAGGAGAGUGGAAUUCCUGGUGUAGCGGUGAAAUGCGCAGAUAUCAGGAAGAACACCCGUGGCGAAGGCGGCUCUCUGGGACGUGACUGACGCUGAGACGCGAAAGCGUGGGGGAGCAAACAGG